UGGGGAAUUUUGGACAAUGGGCGAAAGCCUGAUCCAGCAAUGCCGCGUGUGUGAAGAAGGCCUUCGGGUUGUAAAGCACUUUUGUCCGGAAAGAAAUCCUUGGCUCUAAUACAGUCGGGGGAUGACGGUACCGGAAGAAUAAGCACCGGCUAACUACGUGCCAGCAGCCGCGGUUAAUACGUAGGGUGCAAGCGUUAAUCGGAAUUACUGGGCGUAAAGCGUGCGCAGGCGGUUUGCUAAGACCGAUGUGAAAUCCCCGGGCUCAACCUGGGAACUGCAUUGGUGACUGGCAGGCUAGAGUAUGGCAGAGGGGGGUAGAAUUCCACGUGUAGCAGUGAAAUGCGUAGAGAUGUGGAGGAAUACCGAUGGCGAAGGCAGCCCCCUGGGCCAAAUACUGACGCUCAUGCACGAAAGCGUGGGGGAGCAAACAGGAUUAGAUACCCCUGGUAGUCCACGCCCUAAAACGAUGUCAACUAGUUGUUGGGGAUUCAUUUCCUUAGUAACGUAGCUAACGCGUGAAGUUGACCGCCUGGGGAGUACGGUCGCAAGAUUAAAACUCAAAUGAAUUGACGGGGUCAUAGCUGUUUCCU
rnacentral:rRNA from 1 species